AGGUGAAAGAUGCCAGAGUGCUUGUAGCAACAGAACAGCCACAGAUGUUGGAUAAACUCAGAGAAGCCAACCUUCUGUUGGAGGACAUCCAGAAGGGACUGAAUGAUUAUUUGGAGAAGAAAAGAUUGUUUUUCCCCAGGUACACCAUGCUGUC
rnacentral:sRNA from 1 species